rnacentral:rRNA from 1 species
AUUGAACGCUGGCGGCAGGCCUAACACAUGCAAGUCGAGCGAGCGGCGGACGGGUGAGUAAUGUAUGGGGAACUGCCUGAUGGCGGGGGAUAACUACUGGGAAAGGUAGCUAAUACCGCAUACCAUCAGAUGAACCCAUAUUGGAUUAGCUUGUAGGUGAGGUAACGGCUCACCUAGGCGACGAUCCCUAGCUGGUCUGAGAGGAUGAUCAGCCAAAUUGGGACUGAGACACGCCCCAGACUCCUACGGGAGGCAGCAGUGGGGAAUAUUGCACAAGGGGCGCAAGCCUGAUGCAGCCAUGCCGCGUGUAUGAAGAAGGCCUUCGGGUUGUAAAGUACUUUCAGUCGGGAGGCGUUACCGACAGAAGAAGCACCGGCUAACUCCGUGCCAGCAGCCGCGGUAAUAC